rnacentral:lncRNA from 1 species
AUGACUAUUCCAGAGCUAUGUCAUGAGCGCGAUGCAAGCGCCUUCUCGUUCACAGGGAUUUUAAUAAGAUGUUUAAUGUUUCAGUGCUGCCGCUGUGAUCAUUCAAAUUACCAACGCAUUCUGCAUCCAUCCGUGAAUCACUGCGACUUCCUCGAUACUGAUAAUGAAGUUGGUUGGAAAAACGUGUGCGGAAUUUGCAUCCGCUUGAGGAAACACAGAAGCAAUUUCGGUUUGUUACAUCAUGGCACCUUUCCACCAAUUAAGCAUAUCCUACAGAGGUCUUCAUGCAGGUCAGUUCACUGUAGGCUGUUUGCCUCGACUGGCAGUGACAUGUACAGUACAGCUGCCUCCACCUGCUUCACGCUUUGAGGAUUACAACAGACAGACAGCAGGGAGAAGGGGGGCAUGGCGGCUGAAAGAGGAGAGUGCUUUAUAACGAGUGAUGAGCCCAAACUUUUCUGAAGGCAAGCUGGAUAGGAAAGCCAGCUAGAGGUGAGAAGCUAGAAAGAGUUUAAGGUAAGAAAUUCAUUAAGGAGAAGAAAUGCAUAGCCUUUAAAGUGUGCACACGCAAACAUUACUGCAUGUUUCCUGGUCUCUAUGGGCACAAGAAUUAAAGCAAUGCAAGAUAAGAGAAGCCAGUAACCUUCACCACUGAGG